GAUGAAGAACGUAGUGAAAUGCGAUAAGUAAUGUGAAUUGCAGAAUUCAGUGAAUCAUCGAAUCUUUGAACGCACAUUGCGCCCGCCAGUAUUCUGGCGGGCAUGCCUGUUCGAGCGUCAUUACAACCCUCAGGCCCCCGGGCCUGGCGUUGGGGAUCGGCGGAGCCCCCCGUGGGCACACGCCGUCCCCCAAAUGCAGUGGCGGUCCCGCCGCAGCUUCCAUCGCGUAGUAGCUAACACCUCGCGACUGGAGAGCGGCGCGGCCACGCCGUAAAACACCCAACUCUUCUGAAGUUGACCUCGAAUCAGGUAGGAAUACCCGCUGAACUUAAGCAUAUCAAUAGCGGAGGA
rnacentral:misc_RNA from 1 species